rnacentral:tRNA from 1 species
GGUGUGGCUCAGUCCGGUUAGAGCACCUGCUUUGGGAGCAGGGGGUCGUGGGUUCGAAUCCCGCUACC